rnacentral:rRNA from 1 species
AUUGAACGCUGGCGGAAUGCUUUACACAUGCAAGUCGAACGGUAGAGGGGGCAACCCCUCGAGAGUGGCGAACGGGUGAGUAAUAUAUCGGAACGUGCCCAGUCGUGGGGGAUAACGUAGCGAAAGUUACGCUAAUACCGCGUACGAUCUAAGGAUGAAAGCGGGGGAUCGCAAGACCUCGCGCGAUUGGAGCUGCCGCUAUCAGAUUAGGUAGUUGGUGGGGUAAAGGCUCACCAAGCCAACGAUCUGUAGCUGGUCUGAGAGGACGACCAGCCACACUGGAACUGAGACACGGUCCAGACUCCUACGGGAGGCAGCAGUGGGGAAUUUUGGACAAUGGACGCAAGUCUGAUCCAGCCAUUCCGCGUGCAGGAUGAAGGCCCUCGGGUUGUAAACUGCUUUUGUACGGAACGAAAAGGUCUCUCUUAAUACGGGGGGCUCAUGACGGUACCGUAAGAAUAAGCACCGGCUAACUACGUGCCAGCCGCCGCCGUAA